rnacentral:snoRNA from 1 species
UCCUGCAUUUGAAAGUGAUUGUGGGCUGCCUGCAGUCAUUGGUAAAGCAGGGAGAGGAAUGGCUGAAAGAAAUUUUUCCCGUGUUUGGAGGGUCCACCCUGUCCCUUCCAAACCCUGUACAUUUCCCACA